rnacentral:rRNA from 1 species
GUGAUCGGGUACCUUUUGUAGAAUGGUCCGGCGAGUUAUUGUAUGCGGCAAGGUUAAGUGCUUAAGGCACGGAGCCGAAGCGAGAGCAAGUCUGAACAGGGGCGAAAAAGUCGUAUGCAAUAGACCCGAAACCGAGUGACCUAUCCAUGUCCAGGCUGAAGUGGAGGUAAAACUCCAUGGAGGGCCGAACACACGUCCGUUGAAAAGGCCGGUGAUGAGGUGUGGAUAGCGGAGAAAUUCCAAUCAAACUCGGAGAUAGCUGGUUCUCCGCGAAAUCUAUUGAGGUAGAUCGUUAGGUGUUUACCCCGGGGGUAGGAGCACUGGAUGGGGCUAGGGGGUCCCAAAGACUUACCAAACCUAACCAAAACUCCGAAUACCCGGAAGUAUAGCCUGGCAGACAGACGGC